rnacentral:rRNA from 1 species
UACAGAGGGUGCAAGCGUUGUUCGGAAUCAUUGGGCGUAAAGGGCGCGUAGGCGGCGUGUUAAGUCACUUGUGAAAUCUCUAAGCUUAACUUAGAACGGUCAAGUGAUACUGAUGUGCUAGAGUGCAGAAGGGGCAACCGGAAUUCUUGGUGUAGCGGUGAAAUGCGUAGAUAUCAAGAGGAACACCUGAGGUGAAGACGGGUUGCUGGGCUGACACUGACGCUGAGGCGCGAAAGCUAGGGUAGCAAACGGG